rnacentral:rRNA from 1 species
GCCAACACUGGGACUGAGAACUGCCCAGACUCCUACGGGAGGCUGCAGUCGAGAAUCUUUCGCAAUGGGCGAAAGCCUGACGAAGCGACGCUGUGUGUGUGAUGAAGGCCUUAGGGUCGUAAAGCACUUCGCCUGGAACAAGAGAUCGGCUAAUAUCCGGAAGAUUUGAGAGUAUCAGGUAAAGAAGCACCGGCUAACUCC